rnacentral:ncRNA from 2 species
GGCUCAUCAAGAGAUGGUGGAGGGAAUGGCCCAAUGAAACCGCGGCAACCAUUUGGAAUAUCCAAAAACGGUGCCAAUUCCUGCGGUAAAGAUCGCAAGAUGGGAG